CUUCCUUCUCCCUCCGCCUCCCGAGCACCAGCGCGCUCUGAGCUGCCCCCGGGGUCCCUCCCCCGCCGCCAGCAACCCAUUUGGAGGGAGGAAGUAAGGGAAGAGGAGAGGAAGGGGAGCCGGAGCGACUACCCAGAAAGAGCCGGUGAAUGGGCUUGUGGUGACCCCCGCCCCCCACCCUACCCUCCCGUCCCACCCGACCCCCAACCCCCAUCCCCAGUUCGAGCCGCCACCCGAAAGGCCGGGCCCUCGUCUUAGGAGGAGUCGCCGCCGCCGCCACCUCCGCCAUGGAGCUGAUCACCAUCCUCGAGAAGACCGUGUCUCCUGAUCGGCUGGAGCUGGAAGCGGCGCAGAAGUUCCUGGAGCGUGCGGCCGUGGAGAACCUGCCCACUUUCCUUGUGGAACUGUCCAGAGUGCUGGCAAAUCCAGGAAACAGUCAGGUUGCCAGAGUUGCAGCUGGUCUAUAAAUCAAGAACUCUUUGACAUCUAAAGAUCCAGAUAUCAAGGCACAGUAUCAGCAGAGGUGGCUUGCUAUUGAUGCUAAUGCUUGGCAAGAAGUAAAGAACUAUGUUUUGCAGACAUUGGGCACAGAAACUUACCGGCCUAGUUCUGCCUCACAGGGUGUGGCUGGUAUUGCUUGUGCAGAGAUCCCAGUAAACCAGUGGCCAGAACUCAUUCCUCAGCUGGUGGCCAAUGUUACAAACCCCAACAGCACAGAGCACAUGAAGGAGUCGACAUUGGAAGCCAUCGGUUGGUUAUAUUUGCCAAGAUAUAGACCCAGAGCAGCUAGAAGAUAAAUCCAAUGAGAUUCUGACUGCCAUAAUCCAGGGGAUGAGGAAAGAAGAGCCUAGUAAUAAUGUGAAGCUAGCUGCUACUAAUGCACUCCUGAACUCAUUGGAGUUCACCAAAGCAAACUUUGAUAAAGAGUCUGAAAGGCACUUUAUUAUGCAGGUGGUCUGUGAAGCCACACAGUGUCCAGAUACGAGGGUACGAGUGGCUGCUUUACAGAAUCUGGUGAAGAUAAUGUCCUUAUAUUAUCAGUACGUGGAGACAUAUAUGGGUCCUGCUCUUUUUGCAGACGAAAAUGAUGAUGACGAUGACUGGAACCCCUGCAAAGCAGCAGGGGUGUGCCUCAUGCUUCUGGCCACCUGCUAUGAAGAUGACAUUGUCCCACAUGUCCUCCCCUUCAUUAAAGAAUACAUCAAGAACCCAGAUUGGCGGUACCAGGAUGCAGCAGUGAUGGCUUUUGGUUGUAUCUUGGAAGGACCAGAGCCCAGUCAGCUCAAACCACUAGUUAUACAGCCUAUGCCCACCCUAAUAGAAUUAAUGAAAGACCCCAGUGUAGUUGUUCGAGAUACGGCUGCAUGGACUAUAGCCAGAAUUUGUGAGCUGCUUCCUGAAGCUGCCAUCAAUGAUGUCUACUUGGCUCCCCUGCUACAGUGUCUGAUUGAGGGUCUCAGUGCUGAACCCAGAGUGGCUUCAAAUGUGUGCUGGGCUUUCUCUAGUCUGGCUGAAGCUGCUUAUGAAGCCGCAGAUGUUGCUGAUGAUCAGGAAGAACCAGCUACUUACUGCUUAUCUUCUUCAUUUGAACUCAUAGUUCAGAAGCUCCUAGAGACUACAGACAGGUAA